rnacentral:lncRNA from 1 species
GAAAAGGAAAGAUCGAUUAACAUCCAAAAAUUGUGGCUUUAAAAGGAUUAUGAAAUUCACCUUCCUUACAUUUUGUCCAUCAACCUCAAUUUGACUUUAAAUUACAUGCACAUUAUCUCAUAUGUAGGAAGCGAGGAUACUCAGGUUGAUUUCAGCUUCUCGUUUUUCUUCGGAAAAAAAAUCUAACUAUUAUAUGGGAAAUUUGUAUUGCUGAAGGUUGGAGGAACUGUGCUCUCUUGUUUCGAUCUACCACGCCCGUUCUCUCCAUGCCUCCACCUAUAUCCUAUGCAGUGCUCAAUCUCCUGAAUACUUAUUUCCUUAAACACCAAAAUUGAAACAUGAGAUCACCUUCCACUUCUUUUCUCAUCUCGAUUACCCCCAUCUGUUACAAGGCUGUGACUGACACUGGAUAAGUUCCAUGAUAGAUCAGCAGCACCCACAUGUGGCUAUUUCAGAUGCAUGAAUUUUCUAAAUCUUCCUAUGAUGGUGUACCUUAAGGUGGGUGGAGGUGAAUGACAUGGGAACGUGGGUAGGAGGCCUGUGGUGGCUAUGGGUUCUUACUCUUUCUCUUGACCCUCUUC